UACAGAGGUCUCAAGCGUUGUUCGGAUUCAUUGGGCGUAAAGAGCGUGUAGGCGGCUAGGUAGGUCCGUUGUGAAAACUCGAGGCUCAACCUCGAGACGUCGAUGGAAACCAUCUAGCUAGAGUCCGGAAGAGGAGAGUGGAAUUCCUGGUGUAGCGGUGAAAUGCGCAGAUAUCAGGAAGAACACCCCGUGGCGAAGGCGGCUCUCUGGUACGUGACUGACGCUGAGACGCGAAAAGCGUGGGGGAGCGAACAGG
rnacentral:rRNA from 1 species